rnacentral:rRNA from 1 species
GACGAACGCUGGCGGCGUGCUUAACACAUGCAAGUCGAACGAUGAACCCGGAGCUUGCUCCGGCGGAUUAGUAGCGAACGGGUGAGUAACACGUGAGUAACCUGCCCUUGACUCUGGGAUAACUGCUAGAAAUGGUAGCUAAUACCGGAUACGACCCUCGGAGGCAUCUUCAGGGGGUGGAAAGAAUUUCGGUCAAGGAUGGACUCGCGGCCUAUCAGCUAGUUGGUGAGGUAAUGGCUCACCAAGGCGACGACGGGUAGCCGGCCUGAGAGGGUGACCGGCCACACUGGGACUGAGACACGGCCCAGACUCCUACGGGAGGCAGCAGUGGGGAAUAUUGCACAAUGGGCGCAAGCCUGAUGCAGCAACGCCGCGUGAGGGAUGACGGCCUUCGGGUUGUAAACCUCUUUUAGUAGGGAAGAAGCGAAAGUGACGGUACCUGCAGAAAAAGCACCGGCUAACUACGUGCCAGCCGCCGCCGUAA